GACCUUGCAGUGCAAUGGUAGUGUGUCUGAUUCCAGAUCAGAAGGUUGUGUGUUCAAAUCACGCCAGGGUCA
rnacentral:tRNA from 1 species